CUUGCUGCCAAUCAUGCCUCCCAGCAGCACUGCUCUGUUCGGCCUUGCCUUAGCAAAGUUCGGUAUUGCCUCAGCAAAGUUUGAGGCCGUGCCGUGAUGAUAUGUAGAGUUUGGGAAGACAGGGUUUGGAGGAGCCCUUAUCUGGGCAUUCGGAGGUGCAAGGGACAAUUCAAGGAAGAAAUGAAGGAUACUCCUAUACUUAACCAAUGCACGGUUUAAAUAGACAUCUACUGAUGAGGGAGCCGACAUCCACUUCGGAUCUCCAAAUUGCUAUCCAGUCGUUGCCCUUUUUUUUCUCAGAUCCCUACGCUUCACGAGGAUUUUACGGUCACAUGCAUUUAGAAGGGAGCAUUUCUACUUUCACUUUACUUUUCUUUUUACCUCCGUGUUUUCUGGUGUUUUAUGUUUUUACCCGUUACUUUCA